rnacentral:rRNA from 1 species
GGCUGUAUGCCAUGUCACCCUGCAACUUACAAUUGGCAACCCACUGAAGCUAAGCAGGUGUGAGCCUGGUCAGUACCUGGAUGGGAGACCUCCUGGGAAAAACUAAGGUUGCUGCUGGAA